GACGAACGCUGGCGGCGUGCUUAACACAUGCAAGUCGAACGGAAAGGCCCCUUUGGGGGUACUCGAGUGGCGAACGGGUGCGUAACACGUGAGUAACCUGCCCUUGACUUCGGGAUAACUUCAGGAAACUGGGGCUAAUACCGGAUAGGAAUCCUUGCUGCAUGGUGGGGGUUGGAAAGCUUCGGCGGUUUUGGAUGGACUCGCGGCUUAUCAGCUUGUUGGUGGGGUAGUGGCUUACCAAGGCUUUGACGGGUAGCCGGCCUGAGAGGGCGACCGGCCACAUUGGGACUGAGAUACGGCCCAGACUCCUACGGGAGGCAGCAGUGGGGAAUAUUGCACAAUGGGCGGAAGCCUGAUGCAGCAACGCCGCGUGCGGGAGGACGGCCUUCGGGUUGUAAACCGCUUUCAGCAGGGGCGAAGCUUGUGGUGACGGUACCUGCAGAAGAAGCACCGGCUAACUACGUG
rnacentral:rRNA from 1 species